GAUGAACGCUGGCGGCGUGCCUAAUACAUGCAAGUCGAGCGAACAGACGAGGAGCUUGCUCCUCUGACGUUAGCGGCGGACGGGUGAGUAACACGUGGAUAACCUACCUAUAAGACUGGGAUAACUUCGGGAAACCGGAGCUAAUACCGGAUAAUAUAUUGAACCGCAUGGUUCAAUAGUGAAAGACGGUUUUGCUGUCACUUAUAGAUGGAUCCGCGCCGCAUUAGCUAGUUGGUAAGGUAACGGCUUACCAAGGCAACGAUGCGUAGCCGACCUGAGAGGGUGAUCGGCCACACUGGAACUGAGACACGGUACAGACUCCUACGGGAGGCAGCAGUAGGGAAUCGUCCGCAAUGGGCGAAAGCCUGACGGAGCAACGCCGCGUGAGUGAUGAAGGUCUUCGGAUCGUAAAACUCUGUUAUUAGGGAAGAACAAAUGUGUAAGUAACUAUGCACGUCUUGACGGUACCUAAUCAGAAAGCCACGGCUAACUACGUG
rnacentral:rRNA from 1 species